ACGCUGGUUGAUCUUGCCAGUUUUCAUAUGCUUGUCCUACAGAUUAAGCCAUGCAAGUGAAAGUACAUACGUUAAAUACGCAGAAACUGCGAACGGCUCCUUAAAACAGUUAUAAAUCUACUUGACAUUUUUUAGGAAGGAUAACUACGGGAAACUGUAGCUAAUACUUGAAAUUAUUAUCGUUGAAACUUUGUUUCUUUUGGUAUUAGGUAUUUGUUAAUCCAUAAUAAGAAAAUUAAUAAAUUGAUGAAUUAAAACAAAGAAGUAACACACAUGAAUAUUUUAUAUUUUUAAAGGUGUGUAUCAAUCGAGUUUCUGACCUAUCAGCUUGACGCUAGGGUAUUGACCUAGCACGUUUUGGCUAUAAGGGGUAACCGGGAAUGUGAGUUCGAUUCCGGAGAGGUAUCCUGAGAAAUAGCUACUACAUCUAAGGAAGGCAGCAGGCGCGAAAAUUACCCAAUUCUAAAGAAGAGAGGUAGUGACAGGACAUGACAAUAUAAGGGUAUUACCAUCCUUAUGUUGUAUAACUGAUGGGAAUUCAAAACCAUCCCAGAAAUCAAUUGGAGGAACAAGUCUAGUUGUUAGCAGCCGCGGUAAAAUUAGCUUCAAUAGUGUAUUUUAAUUUUGCUGCAGUUAAAUAGCUCGUAAGUUGAAUUUCUAAGAUUUUUUUUCGAGGAACACUCUUUUUUAUAAAGCAUAUGUUUAUGGCAUGUGCUUAUAUUUAAAGGGUUAUUUCUUACAUAAAAAAAUUUAUAUUGUAUGAAUAACUUGACGCAUUAUCCAUAAUAUAUAUGAUUAUGGCUAUUAUGUUUAAAGUAAUUCAUUCCGUUAUCAUGAUUAAAUUAUAGUGUUCAUGGCAAGUAAAUAAUGAGUUAACGACUCAGCUUCUGUAUAAUUAGGCAUGGAAUAAUGAGAUUAUUACAAUAAGUCAAAAGUUUCUUUGCGUUUGUCUUAUACUUUGUUAAGAAUAAGAUAUCACAAUAAGUCGAAAGUUUCUUGUAGUUUUUCUUAUAUUUUGACUUAGUAUUAAUAGGAGUAUCGGGGGGCAUUAGUAUUCAGAAGGAAGAGGUGAAAUUCUAAGAUUUUCUGAGGACUAACGACUGCGAAUGCAUUUGCCAAUGAUAUUUUCAUUAAUCAAGAACGAAGGUUGAGGGAGUGAAGGCGGUCUGAACGCGUCGUAAUCUUAACCGUAAACUAUGCCUACUAAGCUUUAGAUAGAUACAAGUCUAAUCUCAGUUCACAGAUUAGCGGCAGUUAACUUAAAAGAACUUAAUCAAAUGUGUCGAAAUUUUGUUUUUGCCUUAUUAUAAUAUAACGUCACCUUAUGGUAGUUUAUAAGUGCCUCUACUUUUUAGUGGUGGGUCAAUUUAGCAAACCUCCACUUCUUAAUUUCCAUCGAUAUACCAUCUAUUUUAUAGGGGCUAAAUUAGCUACUAUAUAAAUAGAAGUUGUCAACAACUUACUUCUUAUCUAAGCUAAAUGGAUACCAUUGAAAUUUAGAAGCAACAUACUUAUAGAUUAACCCCCAUCAUAAAAUCUACCUUCUUUGUUCACAUACGUAUACACUACUAUACCUGGGACAGGGAAUAAAAAAAAGAAAAAAGAAAAUGCAAACACAAAAAAAGAGUACAAAAAUAAAGUAAAGCCUCUAACCCCCAGGUCAAACCUACCAUUCUUUAAUAAAUUGCGUAUAUUAACUAUGACAAAGGAAUGGGAAAAAGAAAAAAGGUAAAAA
rnacentral:rRNA from 1 species